UUUGAGUGUUAGAAAAAGUUGAAAAAAUAUUAAAACUAUCAAUGCCUUCUUCAUCAUCUACAUUAGAACUGCUACAUUGCAUAGCGGGAUUUACAUCUAUUGAAGCACGAGAAUUAUCAUAUUGAGUUGCAUAAUAAUUAUAUAGAUGUUGUAAAUAUUCAUUUAACUUGUUCAUAGAAUCAUACAAAUUUGGGCUUUCAGUGGCCCCAAUCUCCAUAUAAGUAUAUAANNN
rnacentral:lncRNA from 1 species